CCCCCCCCCCCCCCCCCGGGGGGAAGGCUGGUGGCUCGCUCUCAUUUUUCGUCUACUGAAUAUUGCGGAAUUUAACGCAAAUUGUGAAUGGAGAGCAGAGACUUAGCAGGUCAGCCUGGAGAGAGGAGGUGAGAUUUCUGCUCUAAGUCACUGGCUGCUUCUCAGAGAAUGUGAACAACCUCUGACAGCUCCCACCUUUACAGCUCUGCCGUGUUCAUUGAUAAUAAAUAGACUGCAGAGUUCAGAAAAAUGAUGCACUUUUACAAAGAUACAGCUUGGAACAGGCCCUUCCGGCCCUUUGAACCACAUCAGCCAGCAACCCACUGAUGUAACCCUAGCCUAAUCAUGGGACAAUUUAUAAUGUCCAAUCAACCAACUUACUGGUAUGUCCUUGGACUGUGAGAUAAAACCAGAGCACCCAGGGGAAGCCCAUGCACACAAGAAGUAACAUGCAAACUUGCUUACAGAAGGCAAGUUGAGCUCUGAACUCAACACCCCAAGCUGUAAUAACGUUGCACUAACCGCUACGUUACUAUCGUGCUCCAUAU